UACGUAGGGUGCGAGCGUUAAUCGGAAUUACUGGGCGUAAAGGGUGCGCAGGCGGUUAUAUAAGACAGAUGUGAAAUCCCCGGGCUCAACCUGGGAACUGCGUUUGUGACUGUAUGACUAGAGUACGGUAGAGAGGGGUGGAAUUCCUGGUGUAGCAGUGAAAUGCGUAGAUAUGUGGAGGAAUACCGAUGGCGAAGGCAGCCUCCUGGGCCAACACUGACGCUCAUGCACGAAAGCGUGGGGAGCAAACAGG
rnacentral:rRNA from 1 species